AAUUUCUGCCGGAACUUUCUCACAUCCCCGCGUCUGGGGCAAGCAAGUGGAAAUGUGACCUCACCCAGGUCUCUGAUGCUGAUGGAGCAGGAUCGAGAUGGACCAGUGGCUGGAAGCCUGAAGAUGUGCUCCAGGUGUGUGCCAGGGACAUCCAACUACCGAGGCACCGAUCAGGGCAUACCCAUGCCUGACCCUGAACUCAGACAAGACUACAGAGUUCCCCCAUGCAUUCCAGGGAGGGAGAUGCAAGCUGGAGCCUGCCCAGACCCUCCAACAGGCAGCCCCCACCUCCAGAGACCUACCUUAUGCCCGUGCCAUGCAUGCCACCCUGGGCGAGGACAAGUGCUCAUGGCAGCUUCAGCGAGCGGCCCGGACCUCCAGAAGGCAUUUUUCCAACACCUUUAACCACCGGGAUCUCAACGGAGCAGCCACAUGCAAGAGAAAACUCUAUGACCUGAAGUACAUGACACAAAGUCUGUGCAUCAAUGAAAGCAUGUGACCCAGAAGGUGUAUAAACUCCAGAAAGAGGGGGGAUUCCGUUGAUCUUGUCUCGAGGAGCCUAACACCUGGCAUGUGGUGGGUGGUCAAUAUAUUUUUGUGGAAUUGAAUUGAACUGAUGGCCGUGGCCUUUACCUACAGCCCCUUUGCUCCUAGUUUAGUCACAAUAACAACUGGCCAGUUUACUCAGGCUAGACAAACCAGCAGUGCUGAAGGAAAGAAUGGGAAGAAGUCUUGCCUCCAGCACUUACUAGCCCUGCCUGCCUUCUUCCUUCUGUAAAAUGGGUUAUUGUGAGGGUUACAGAAAAUUGUUAACAAAUGUCUAACAUGGUGCCUGGUACCUAGUGAGGACUAGAUAAACAUUAACUUGAAUUUUUUAGGGGCUAGCAGAAAAACUAUAAAAAUAGACAUAAGACCUCAAAAAAAAAAAAAUCCAAAAAAGGAAGGCUGAGAUCCUGUUAUCUAUAGAAAGCCUGAAAGGGGAUUUGAAGAGCUACCUGUAACCCUGAUGUUGUGAUAAGAGCUGGUAUUAUCAAUCCUGGACAUUUGCACCUCCCAGCAAGCUGAGGAAGUGGGUACUACAACUACUGCAUUUAUAGAUGAAGAAGCAGAAGCUCAGUGAGGUUAAGAAACUUCACCAAGAUCACACAGCAUGUAGCAGCCAGGCUGGGACUCAGACCCGGCUCUGUGUGACCUCAAAGUCCUGCCCCAAGAAAGACUAGAAGAAUAAACACGUGAAGAUCAACGGAGAUAUCCUUAAG
rnacentral:lncRNA from 1 species